UACUCCGCCGGCGACCGGCGCACGGGUGCGUAACGCGUAUGCAACCCACCUUUAACAGGGGCAUAACACUGAGAAAUUGGUACUAAUUCCCCAUAACAUUCGAGAAGGCAUCUUCUUGGGUUAAAAACUCCGGUGGUUAAAGAUGGGCAUGCGUUGUAUUAGCUAGUUGGUGAGGUAACGGCUCACCAAGGCAACGAUACAUAGGGGGACUGAGAGGUUAACCCCCCACAUUGGUACUGAGACACGGACCAA
rnacentral:rRNA from 1 species